CCUACGGGAGGCAGCAGUGAGGAAUAUUUGUCAAUGGACGAGAGUCUGAACCAGCCAAGUAGCGUGAAGGAUGACUGCCCUAUGAGUUGUAAACUUCUUUUAUAAAGGAAUAAAACGAGGCACGUGUGCCUUUUUGCAUGUACUUUAUGAAUAAGGAUCGGCUAACUCCGUGCCAGCAGCCGCGGUAAUACGGAGGAUCCGAGCGUUAUCCGGAUGUAUUGGGUUUAAAGGGAGCGUAGAUGGGUUGUUAAGUCAGUUGUGAAAGUUUGCGGCUCAACCGUAAAAUUGCAAUUGAUACUGGCAGUCUUGAGUACAGUUGAGGUAGGCGGAAUGCGUGGUGUAGCGGUGAAAUGCUUAGAUAUCACGAAGAACCCCGAUUGCGAAGGCAGCUUACUAAACUGUGACUGACAUUGAUGCUCGAAAGUGUGGGUAUCAAACAGGAUUAGAUACCCGUGUAGUC
rnacentral:rRNA from 1 species